UACAGAGACUGCAAGCGUUGUUCGGAUUCAUUGGGCGUAAAGGGUCCGUAGGCGGUCGGUUAAGUCGGAUGUGAAAUCUCACAGCCUAACUGUGAGCGGUCAUUCGAAACUAAUCGGCUAGAGGGCUGGAGAGGAGACUGGAAUUGUCGGUGUAGCGGUGAAAUGCGUAGAGAUCGACAAGAACACCGGUGGCGAAGGCGGGUCUCUGGACAGUUCCUGACGCUGGAGGGACGAAAGCUAGGGGAGCAAACGGG
rnacentral:rRNA from 1 species